AUGGACUUGAAAGGUGUAUGGCAGGCAAUGGAGGAAUGUCAUCGCCUUGGCCUUGCUAAAAUGAUUGGUGUUAGCAAUUUCACAACGAAGAAAUUGCAGGAGCUACUUGCAAUUGCAGAAAUCCCCCCAGCAGUGAAUCAGGUUGAGUUGAAUCCAGCUUGGCAGCAGAAAAAACUGAUUGAAUUCUGCAAAGAGAAAGGAAUUCAUGUGACUGCUUAUUCUCCCCUGGGAGGCCAAAGCAGGACAUCCAAAAUCAAUGCCGUGCUACAGUCUGAAAUUCUGAAAGAGAUUGCCGAAGCUAGAGGAAAAUCCAUAGCUCAGAUCUCACUGAGAUGGAUCUUCGAGCAAGGAGCGAGCAUGGUAGCCAAGAGUAUGAAAAAGGAGAGGCUUCAGGAGAACCUCGAAAUCUUUGACUGGGAACUGACCGACGAAGACCGGUUCAAGAUUACCCAGAUACCGCAGUACAAGAAGGUCACGGUGUUGGCGAUCCUCUGCCCUGAAGGUGUCCCUGGCGUCGAUCUUUCAGAGGUUGAUGUUGUUGAAACGUAG
rnacentral:rRNA from 1 species